rnacentral:rRNA from 1 species
UACGUAGGGUGCAAGCGUUAAUCGGAAUUACUGGGCGUAAAGCGUGCGCAGGCGGCUUUGCAAGACAGAUGUGAAAUCCCCGGGCUUAACCUGGGAACUGCAUUUGUGACUGCAUGGCUGGAGUGCGGCAGAGGGGGAUGGAAUUCCGCGUGUAGCAGUGAAAUACGUAGAUAUGCGGAGGAACACCGAUGGCGAAGGCAAUCCCCUGGGCCUGCACUGACGCUCAUGCACGAAAGCGUGGGGAGCAAACAGG